CACACCGCCCGUCACACCAUGGGAGUUGGCUUUACCCGAAGACGGUGCGCUAACCAGCAAUGGAGGCAGCCAACCACGGUAGGUUCAGUGACUGGGGUG
rnacentral:rRNA from 1 species